rnacentral:rRNA from 1 species
GAUGAACGCUGGCGGCGUGCCUAAUACAUGCAAGUCGAGCGAACAGACGAGGAGCUUGCUCCUCUGACGUUAGCGGCGGACGGGUGAGUAACACGUGGAUAACCUACCUAUAAGACUGGGAUAACUUCGGGAAACCGGAGCUAAUACCGGAUAAUAUAUUGAACCGCAUGGUUCAAUAGUGAAAGACGGUUUUGCUGUCACUUAUAGAUGGAUCCGCGCCGCAUUGGCUAGUUGGUAAGGUAACGGCUUACCAAGGCAACGAUGCGUAACCGACCUGAGAGGGUGAUCGGCCACACUGGAACUGAGACACGGUCCAGACUCCUACGGGAGGCAGCAGUAGGGAAUCUUCCGCAAUGGGCGAAAGCCUGACGGAGCAACGCCGCGUGAGUGAUGAAGGUCUUCGGAUCGUAAAACUCUGUUAUGAGGGAAGAACAAAUGUGUAAGUAACUAUGCACGUCUUGACGGUACCUAAUCAGAAAGCCACGGCUAACUACGUG